UACGUAGGGUGCGAGCGUUAAUCGGAAUUACUGGGCGUAAAGUGUGCGCAGGCGGCAGAGCAAGUCGAGUGUGAAAGCCCCGGGCUCAACCUGGGAAUGGCAUUUGGGACUGCAAGGCUUGAGUGCGGCAGAGGAGACUGGAAUUCCUGGUGUAGCAGUGAAAUGCGUAGAUAUCAGGAGGAAUACCGAUGGCGAAGGCAGGUCUCUGGGCUGACACUGACGCUCAUGCACGAAAGCGUGGGUAGCAAACAGG
rnacentral:rRNA from 1 species